UGCAGGGUGGAGCAGCCCGGUUAGCUCGUCAGGCUCAUAACCUGAAGGUCGUAGGUUCAAAUCCUACCCCUGCACCCA
rnacentral:tRNA from 7 species